UAAAAGAUAAGAAACCCCCCACGAUCCCACGAAAUUGCAAAAUUAAGCAUAAAAAGGGUAACAAAUUAACCUAGCGAAAACUGCUGCAACAAUCAGUGUUCUCUUCUUGGGAGAAGUUUAAAACUCAUCUAAUUUCAUCAAAUGAUGACCAGAUCUAAGAACCAUAAAUUGUUCUGGGAGGAGAUUUGUACAACUAAUUACCAGAUCGAAGAACCACCAAUUUUGAUGACAGAUUAUGAAAGAAGACUACCUAAUUGGUGGUUGUAGGCAUGAAAUCUGAAGUUUAUCACAUAGAAACAGAUUUUCCCGGGGAUUGCACAUGGCUGAUUUGCGAGGUACAAAGAUGAAAAUAAAUUAGUGGCUAUACGAGGCUCAUCAAGAUAUGUUGGGUGGUAUAGGAAGCAUCUCAAGUAAGUUCCUCUCAUCGUCAUUUAUCUACUGCUUUAUUUUGAGUAGGUUAUGAAUGCAAAAUUUAGUUAUUAGAUUGUGCUUUGGAUUAAACAUUAAGUGCUUUUUUUUUUUGGUAAGGUAGGAUUAAACAUCAAGUCUUAGUCUUUAGAACUAGAGCAACAUAAAGAAUAGAAAAAAGUUGAGCUUAGAAUGAUCGGAUGAAAACUUGCUUUUUCCAAAGUAUAUGCAAUGAGUGAUAUGCUUUUGGAUUGCUCGCUGCCAUUAUUAAUUUUUAACUUAGUGGUAUUUUAGGAGCUUCUCUAUUCCGCAUAGAAAUUUUUCCGAGUGUCAAUUGAUAAAAAGAAAUAAUUAGCAUUGAUUUAUUAAUUAUAACCAUUUUCUUAAAGAUGACCAAUAUUGUUGAAGGCAAUUAGGGAUAGAAUAAAAGUAAUAUAUUCAAUUUUCGAUCCAGUUUUGUAUUUGUUGGACUACCAACAUCAUCAUGAAUAGUUAUUUUAUUUUUUCUCUUUCUAUUUUUGACUUGCUUUUCGCAUGUGUACCGUGAACAUUAUGGAAGUUUAUUCAUUAUAUUUCUACAUUCAUAUCAUUUAUCUUACAUUUUAGAUGUGCAAGGUCAAUUUUUCACUUACAGUCUAAGUCUUUCUUUCUAUAAUUUCUUCUAUCAUCAGCUUUUUUUGAAGAUCCUUUUUUCUUGGCCUAAUUCUGCUACUGCUGUUGUUAUUGGAAAACAGUUAUGAAAAAGUUUGUGCAGAGGCAACAACAGAUAUUAGUGUUCAUGCUGUCAAUUGGAAGUUUAUUCAUUGGAGUUUUAUUUUGCAGGUUUUUUAUAUAUUUUUUUCUUUCCAUAAAUAUGGUUGCUGUCAUUGAAUUCUGAUUCUUAAGCCAUACAUUUUCUUAUAUUCUUGAAUGGCUUGAUAAGAAAAGUGAGGUGAUGAUAUUGUUGAUAAGUUUUAGCCUCAAUUCUGCAUCUUUCCUACUUCUAUACAAGUCCAGUUAUUAUGUAUUGUGAACAACUUUUCGAGAUACUACAAGUAACUUUUGUGAGG